rnacentral:rRNA from 1 species
AGAGUUUGAGUCCUGGCUCAGGAUGAACGCUGGCGGCGUGCCUAACACAUGCAAGUCGAACGGAGUUACGAUGAAACCUAGUGAUUCGUAACUUAGUGGCGGACGGGUGAGUAACGCGUGGAUAACCUGCCUUGCACUGGGGGAUAACACUUAGAAAUAGGUGCUAAUACCGCAUAAGCGCACGGAGCCGCAUGGCUCAGUGUGAAAAACUCCGGUGGUGUAAGAUGGAUCCGCGUCUGAUUAGCUGGUUGGCGGGGUAGAAGCCCACCAAGGCGACGAUCAGUAGCCGGCCUGAGAGGGUGAACGGCCACAUUGGGACUGAGGCACGGCCCAAACUCCUACGGGAGGCAGCAGUGGGGAAUAUUGCACAAUGGGGGAAACCCUGAUGCAGCAACGCCGCGUGAGUGAAGAAGUCAUUCGUGAUGUAAAGCUCUAUCAGCAGGGAAGAAAAUGACGGUACCUGAGUAAGAAGCCCCGGCUAACUACGUG